CAGCUGCUCCGGGCCGUUUCAACACAUGGUUCGAGCCGUUUCAGCUGGCUCCAAGCCGUUUGAACUGUAUCCGAGCCGGUACAGCUGUCUAAUGACGGUUCAAUGUGUUGUUCGAGUCGGGUCAACGUGUUUGUCGAGCCGUUUGACCGUAUGACCAUAUGCCGCAUUUACUUACCCAGUGAGUGCGGAUGGAACUAUCGAGCAAAAGACGCAUCUUUAUCAUUGCUACAAGCGUUUUGACUCAAAAUCCAGAAGAAGAGAUUUGAUUCACUCCAAACUUUAAAUUUGUUGUCCAAUUUGCUCUCGGGGAGGUUCUAAGUUCUAAGCAGCUGUUUGGUGAAGUUAUCUGAAGACUGCUUUCUUGGAGACCGAGCUUUUUUCUCUACUACCCGUUUCUGCGGUUAUGAGAAAGGGUCCUGACGAGAAAUUUUGUGGAUGAAACUGAAUCACUUUACUAGCGGUUUGGCGAAGUUUUGUUUGUAAUUUUUACAUGUUAUAUCUUUUAUGUAAUUUGUAUUAAGUAAUAAUAAAAAUUAUGUGUUUUAAAUUUGA